GUAAAUCCCUUUGUUUGUAUGUUGGGAUUUAUCUGUUUUUCUUCUGCACACUCCAAGCAAAUUUUCUACAGUAUAAAGGUGCACAAUAGGUGCUCUGAAAGAGAAAAAAAAGAGCUGCAUCACUUGUCUGGGAGCCUGGAUGUUCAAUAUCCAGUCAUGCAAAACCUUUUUCGGAGUCGGAGGCAGCUCAUUUCAAGAUGUUGAAGUGACUCAGUCUUUCACUACAAGGGCAGGGCAGGAGUGUGGUCAGAGUUUUCAGAGAGCCAGAGCCAGAGUCCGAAGGGCAUCAUCAUCGUUGUUCACGAGAGUCAGUCAUUGGAGAGGGCCAAAUGGAGCAGCCAGUCAGGAAUCUCAGGAUGUGGUCAUAGAAGAUGGAUCGUUCCACAUGGCUGCCACAUCUCUGAACCUAUCAGAGUAUAAUGGAAACAUCACCACACAUAUCUGUUUGACACACUGGAUGAUGGCUUCUGGAGCCCCUGAGAUUGUCACUGCCCUCUCAGUGGAGUUGGGGAGCAUGUCACCUGCAACCUGGACCUGAGCUCCUGUGGACUGGAGAGCCUCCUUUGCCAAUGAGGGAGCCACACUGGCUGGCCGGAACAACGAGCCUCAAGGUUACAGGUGGUUUACUGGUGGCUGGACUGUUGCUCAUGGAGUUGAUUAUAUCCUGAAGAGGAGGAAG